rnacentral:rRNA from 1 species
AUGUUCAAAGUUCAAAUCACAGUAGUAACGGGGAAACCCAUCCGUAAAAGGAGAGCCGCGGUGAGUGCCACGCAUCCCAGCCGUCAGAUGAGAGAGACGGACGUCCCAAAUCUCUCCACAGCGGUAACGGCAGCGGCCCGGGCUAACCACCCCUACACGACGUGCGCUUCGGCGCUUCGCCUCCGCUUCGAGUUCGACACCGCGCACACGCACACGCACACGCACGGCCGCUCUGUUUCCUCCUCCGUUCCGUUACGCGGCCUCGUUGAUCUCCUCGGAAGACUUGGACUUGUCUUCAAUUCCUUCGCUUUCCCACCCGACUCCUCUGCCGUGCCUCCUCUACGCGUGCGUGCUGGUCGCAGGCAGCUCCGGGGGGAGACCAGACCAGACGACCUCGCCCGCCCGCCGCCGGAGGGAGGGAGCCUGCUCGCCCGCCCCGCCUCCCUGCCUCCUCCUCCCGGCCCGCGCCGGGCAUUGGGAUCUCGCGGCUCGCCCCCCGCGCCACCCCGCCCAAACCCUAGCCGCCGCCAGGGGAGGGUCGCGUCGCGGCAGCAGGAUCCAACGGUACGGAACUGGCGCCCCGCUCUGCUCCUCCCUGUGCGCAGCUCGAUUCCUCCUCGUGGGUUUCGGUUCGAGCUAUAA